UCUUCCCUGGCCUUGCGCUCGCUCUUCCUGCCCUGUAGCCGUGGGCGUCCAAAUGAAGCUGGAAUUCCUCCAGCGCAAAUUCUGGGCGGCAACGCGGCAGGAUCUGAACUGCUUCGUCAUUGACAACAACGGGUUCAUUCUGAUCUCCAAGAGGUCCCAAGAGAGUGACCAUGUAUGACUAUCAGGCCAUGUGCAAACCCUCGAGUCACCACCACAGCGCAGCCCAGCCCCUGGUCAGCCCAAUUUCUGCCUUCUUGACGGCGACCAGGUGGCUGCUGCAGGAGCUGGUGCUGUGAGUGGGGGUAGACAUGGGGCUGGUGGAGGGCUGCAUGCGAGGGUAGCUUAGGAGGGUGUCCUUGAGCAGGAGGCUGCAAGGUCUCCAGGACAACCCACUUGCUACCAGACCCCGGGGAAGGAGGGCACAAUCCCUGGGCAUGGACACCACCUCUUCCCUGAAUGCUGCCCCUGGGAGGGACCUCAUUGCUCACACCAGAGCCCU
rnacentral:sRNA from 1 species